CUACGGGAGGCUGCAGUAAGGAAUAUUGCGCAAUGGAGGCAACUCUGACGCAGCCAUGCCGCGUGCAGGAAGAAGGCCUUAUGGGUCGUAAACUGCUUUUAUUUAGGAAUAAACCCCCGAACGUGUUCGGGGCUGAAGGUACUAAACGAAUAAGCACCGGCUAACUCCGUGCCAGCAGCCGCGGUGAAUACGGAGGGUGCAAGCGUUAUCCGGAUUUAUUGGGUUUAAAGGGUGCGCAGGCGGGCUAUUAAGUCAGUGGUGAAAUCCCGGGGCUCAACUCCGGAACUGCCAUUGAUACUGAUAGUCUUGAGUUUGGUUGAAGUGGGCGGAAUGUAGCAUGUAGCGGUGAAAUGCAUAGAUAUGCUACAGAACACCAAUCGCGAAGGCAGCUCACUAAGCCAAAACUGACGCUCAUGCACGAAAGCGUGGGGAUCAAACAGGAUUAGAUACCCUCGUAGUC
rnacentral:rRNA from 1 species